GAUGAACGCUGGCGGCGUGCCUAACACAUGCAAGUCGAGCGGAUUCUCUUCGGAGAAGAGCGGCGGACGGGUGAGUAACGCGUGGGUAACCUGCCCUGUACACACGGAUAACAUACCGAAAGGUAUGCUAAUACGAGAUAAUAUACUUUUAUCGCAUGGUAGAAGUAUCAAAAGCUUUUGCGGUACAGGAUGGACCCGCAUCUGAUUAGCUAGUUGGUAAGGUAACGGCUUACCAAGGCGACGAUCAGUAGCCGACCUGUGAGGGUGAUCGGCCACAUUGGAACUGAGACACGGGUCCAAACUCCUACGGGAAGGCAAGCAGUGGGGAAUA
rnacentral:rRNA from 1 species